CCUCAUGACCAGUUUCUCUAAACGUAGGAAUUCUCUACAUGUGAGGAAAUGAGGUGAUAACUCUGUGGUGUGGCACACUGUCUUAUUGACUUGCUUUAUGUCCCUGAAGCUAGAACAGGCCUUGACUGUAGGGAGUAGCAUCUUACAAGGCACCAACACCAGCACUCAGCACAGAUCUGGGCACACAAGCAUUCCAAUAUAUUCAUGAUUCACAGAU
rnacentral:lncRNA from 1 species